UCCUGAAGUUGAGCGACAAUAUCAUCCCAAGAGGUGAGAACUUGAAGAUCACACCGGUAUGCUAUCCGCCUCCAGACGCUUUCACUGUAUCGACACUCAAAGAAGAGGACAACGAUCAAGUAGGACCAACCAAGUAAGGAAGUUGUGUUGCGGGAUGCUGUAAGAGAUCCAAACGAUCUUAGCCCAAGGAACAGUCGGCUGGGAACCUUUAAGAUAAGUGUAUAUCACGCCUGUUUUGUACCUUUGUUCUAGUCUUCCAUCAACCACCCAUUCAUAACCAUCCUCCACUUCUGAUAACUCCACCGUGGUCAAGUGAACCUGUAGUGCUAAUUGGUUCUCAGUUCUUGCUGCAGGUAGAUGCCAACGCCCCACGGAGAAGCGUGAUGCCACAGUUGCUAUCUUUGGGAUACCAAGACGCGAAGUGCUGGCGUUCAGAAACUUGUAUAGGUUUCCAAAGGGUGACCAAUUAUCAAACCAAAAGCUCGUGUUUUCCCCAUUGCCAAUCCGACGCUUGAGGAGCGGCAGACCCACACCGAAUUCGGCCGAAAGAAGAGUAACCAGACGAGCUUCAAUAUACAUGCCAGGUUCCAACUAUGAAGAUCCUUUACCCCCAACCCUCCUUCAUCCUUAGUAAGUGUUACCGUCUCCCAACUCACUCUUGCAUUGUUAUGCCCCUCACUGGUACCUUUCCAUAGAAAAAGACUACAAAGAGAAUUAAUUCUGUUAAUACAUGCCUUUGGCAGGAUAAAGCUAGAGCACCAGAAAGUAGUAAUUACCGAGAUGACUGUUUUUAUCAAGAGCAGACGUCCAGCAAAUGACAGAGCCUUUGCAGACCAAGCAGAGAAACGUUUUUUGAUCUGUAGUAUAAGAGGCUCGCAGUUCUGCAAGUUGAGCUUCUUACUAGUCAAUGGCACCCCAAGGUAACGCAUAGAAUCUGAAGGACCCUUUGUACCGAUUCUAACAACCCAUCUAUGAAGAUCAAGAGGUCGUCAGCGAACGAUAGAUGAGUCAACUUCGUCUUGUGGCAUUGAUGAUGAUGCAAGCUCUCAGGAGGCAAAUGAAUGGAGGCGACAGGGCUAGGCUUUCCAACGCUGUGAAUAGGAAGUCCCAAGAUAGAGUAUCAAACGCUUUUGCAAUGUCAACCUUUAUGGAAUCCUGAAUUAAAGAACGCUUGAAUGGAGCUGAUACAUUCUGUGCCUAGCAGUGACCAAGAAGCUUUGAAAAAUCCCGAGGCAUCAGUAAGAUAGAUGCAAUCUGUGGUUGGUUGCACACAAAAGGAGUGAGACUGUGAAACCAAUGGGGAGGAGAGUACCAAAGAAGUGGGAGAAGAUCAGGCCCAAGGACAGCUUUGAAGUGAGAAAUGGUGUGGUCACUCAUUUCCAGAGGAUCAGUGAUGAUAACCCCUGACAGUAAGAGGAACGAGCAAAUUGCAUUGUAACUGGCUCUUGCUUGACACACCCGCUGAAAAAAGGUUCAGCUCAUGUUCUACAACAAAAGUUUCUGUAGUGGGAUUCGAAAGUGCCUGUACCUGCGCAAGUUGAAGCAAACACUUCCAACAGAGAGAGGCAAGGUCCACAGACACGCUUCCGGCGAGCAACCAAGCAUCAGUAACAACCUCCAAAAAGCUCGGGUGUUUGGUUAAGUAGUUCAGGAAACGGAAAGGUUGGGUUCCGGCUUUGGGGAGUUGGACUACAAGGUCAAUAAGGCAGGGAGAGUGAUCUGAAGGGGCUAGGGGAAGAAAGGUAGCAGUAGCAUUUGGGUAACUGGUAAGGCAAUCACUGUUUAUCAAGCAACGAUCAAGUUUCUUUGCAACUGGACUAACUUCACAUUUGUUUAUCCACGUAUGAGGAGGCCCAUAGAACCGAAGAUCAAAGAUUCCCAUCUGAAGUAAACAAUCGCGAAAUUGGAACAUUUGAGAAGCGUGUCUACUAUGGUAGAAGGAAGAGUGAUCAUGGCUAUGAAGGAUCUGAUUGAAGUCUCCUCCUAUCAUCCAAGGCCUUGAGUCUAAACCAUGAGCUAAUUGCAAGUCCAAAACCUCAGCCCAGAGGAGCUCUGGCAGCAGGCUCCUUAGGAGGAGUGAAAAGCAGACAGUUGCAAACUACAUGACCCAGCUCACUACAAUGGGAACACUUUGGAGGCAGCCAGGGGUAGUCGACUUGAACCUCAACAACUUCACCACUCUGUCUUUCAAAUUCAACGACAUUCGGGAGAGGCUUAGUUAGAUCAACUUCAACCUUAACAUGAGAUAAGGUCAAGAGGAACACCGGUGAGAUGAGCCCAGAUCUUUAUCGAGCUGAGAGGAGGCGUGGAGGAGGAAUGCACUGAUGACCAUUGGGCGGUAUGGAACAUUGAAUCUCCCACGUACCAUAUGUUUUUAUCCAAUAUCUUCAGUCUGAGGUAAUCAUUGGGAAUUCUAACCAGCACUGAGCGUUGCAAGGGGUUAUUAUGCAUCUCAAGUCUCCUGCCUUUACCCCACAUAUGACUAAGGACGCUUUGGAUAUGUUUAAAUGGUGGAGGGCACCCGUUAAAGUAACAAACUAUAAAGUCUUUGUGAAGCUCUGCCCCCUUUUGGAAAACUGAAUCAGGGAUGAGCACACGAGGCCGUCCAGUCUCAGAAAAAGAAGCAGGAGCCAGUCACUUGAGAGAUUUAUCACCUCUCAGUCGAAGAGUUUCUACAAGAGAGGGAGAAAUGGUAUGGGUCUGAGGAAGGGGAUUGGGAAGCGAGGCAGUUUGGGCUGGGGGAGG